rnacentral:rRNA from 1 species
AGUGAACGCUGGCGGUAGGCCUAACACAUGCAAGUCGAACGGCAGCACAGGAGAGCUUGCUCUCUGGGUGGCGAGUAGCGGACGGGUGAGGAAUACAUCGGAAUCUACUCUGUCGUGGGGGAUAACGUAGGGAAACUUACGCUAAUACCGCAUACGACCUACGGGUGAAAGCAGGGGACCUUCGGGCCUUGCGCGAUUGAAUGAGCCGAUGUCGGAUGAGCUAGUUGGCGGGGUAAAGGCCCACCAAGGCGACGAUCCGUAGCUGGGCUGAGAGGAUGAUAAGCCACACUGGAACUGAGACACGGUCCAGACUCCUACGGGAGGCAGCAGUGGGGAAUAUUGGACAAGGGGCGCAAGCCUGAUCCAGCCAUACCGCGUGGGUGAAGAAGGCCUUCGGGUUGUAAAGCCCUUUUGUUGGGAAAGAAAUCCAGCUGGCUAAUACCCGGUUGGGAUGACGGUACCCAAAGAAUAAGCACCGGCUAACUUCGUGCCAGCCGCCGCAGUAA